AUUAGCUGACGAGUCCCAAACAGGACGAAAUGCGCAUCAAAUUGGAU
rnacentral:hammerhead_ribozyme from 1 species